rnacentral:ncRNA from 1 species
UACAAUGGGCAGUAYMAAGGUUGCCAACUCGCGAGAGUGCGCUAAUCCCAUAAAGCUGUUCGUAGUCCGGAUUGGAGUCUGCAACUCGACUCCAUGAAGUCGGAAUCGCUAGUAAUCGCAGAUCAGAAUGCUGCGGUGAAUACGUUCCCGGGCCUUGUACACACCGCCCGUCACACCAUGGGAGUUGGCUGCAAAAGAAGUAGGUAGACUAACCUUCGGGAGGUCGCUUACCACUUUGUGGUCAAUGACUGGGGUGAAGUCGUAACAAGGUAGCCCUAGGGGAACCUGGGGCUGGAUCACCUCCUUU